rfam:Schistosoma margrebowiei strain Zambia genome assembly, scaffold: SMRZ_scaffold0000172
AUCCAGCUGAUCAGUCGCAAAUAGGACCAAACGCGCUUCCUGGAU